rnacentral:rRNA from 1 species
UACAGAGGGGGCAAGCGUUGUUCGGAAUUACUGGGCGUAAAGGGCGCGUAGGCGGCCUGUUAAGUCGAACGUGAAAUCCCCGGGCUCAACCCGGGAACUGCGUCCGAUACUGGCAGGCUUGAAUCCGGGAGAGGGAUGCGGAAUUCCAGGUGUAGCGGUGAAAUGCGUAGAUAUCGUGGAGAACACCCGUGGCGAAGGCGGGCUUCUGGCUAAUGACUGACGCUGAGGUGCGAAAGCUAGGGGAGCGAACGGG